UACGUAGGGGGCAAGCGUUGUCCGGAUUUCUUGGGCGUACAGAGCGUGUAGGCGGCUUUACAGGUCCGUUGUGAAAACUCGAGGCUCAACCUCGAGACGCCGGUGGAAACCGUAAGGCUAGAGUCCGGAAGAGGAGAGUGGAAUUCCUGGUGUAGCGGUGAAAUGCGCAGAUAUCAGGAGGAACACCCGUGGCGAAAGCGGCUCUCUGGGACGGUACUGACGCUGAGACGCGAAAGCGUGGGGAGCAAACAGG
rnacentral:rRNA from 1 species